rnacentral:rRNA from 1 species
UAACUGAAGAGUUUGAUCAUGGCUCAGAUUGAACGCUGGCGGCAGGCUUAACACAUGCAAGUCGAGCGGGGAAGGUUGCUUCGGUA